AGAUCCGAGUUCCCGUACGAUCACCAAAGUUAAGCAACGUCGAGCGUGGUCAGUACCUAGAUGGGUGACCGCUUGGAAAUACCAGGUGCUGUAAU